rnacentral:lncRNA from 1 species
CUUUAAUUGGACAGCAUGUUCUCGAGUAAGAAGUUAACGCUCUACUGUACACACGUAGCUCAGAAGGAGCUGUUUGCAGGUGUGUCCUUCUCAGCAUUAAGCACUGUGAGUUUUGAGGGGGUUUUCAACCCUCAUUCAGGGAUUGAUUGGAACUGCUGAUUUAUUGCAAAAUUCCACCACUGUGGCAGCCACAACACUGCUUCCAAAGCUGCGAGCUGAGUAUUACUACCAAUUAUUUAGGAAAUGAGGAUGAGAACAGUGUGAUACAUACAAAACAGAAGAAAAAAGUCAAGUAUCUUCUGCUACCAAAUGUUUACAGUCAAGGAGAAGGUAGGAGGGAUCUUUGGAGCUUCAUUUCCCUUGUGUGCUGAAAUUAAUGAGAGCUCAGGCAUGCAAGUUCCUGGGUGCUCUUUCUCCUCUUUGAGAUCAGUUACCAAAUCUCUCUCUAAUUCUGUUAUUUACCACCACUCUGUACCCUAAGCUCAUGGAACCUGAAACCAAAGCGUGCUGUUGAUAAGAAGCACAUUGAUUUCUCUAUCUGCUGUUGAGUUGCAUCCUUUUUUAAGCCUAUGCCAAUAGAAUUUAUUUGAAAUUAAAAGCCAAUAUUAAUGUUUCUUUCUUUAUAUUUUUAUCACAACAUGCUGACCUCUGUGGAAGAUACUACAUCCAUCCAAGUUCUUUAACAACUUCUCCAGAGGCUUUUCUUUCAAACCUGGGAUGCUGCACAUGGAGGGGACCAGAGCUCUGGGACCAUGGGUUGGCGAGCGACCGGGUGCGCUGGGGACAGCACUGCUGAGCACAUAGCUCCAAAAGGGCAAAGUGGAUGCGUGAGACUGCUAUGGGAGAUGUAGUGCCACAUAGAAGAAGUUUAUAUUGGACACAACAAAUAAGCACAAAUCUUUUUGGCCAUCUUAAAGACUACAAAGAUGUUGUGCAGUGGCUAGAAGGAAGAACGGGCAUCCUCAGUGUAACCCUAUCAAAGGAAAUAUUGUUCAUAAAGCAUCACUGUGUUGUCCUGAGCUAUCAUGGGCAAAAAGAGACGGGAAGACAGACACAGAUGGAGACACACAUAUGGAGAUACAUUCAGGCUGAAUUUGUCCUGUAUAAUUUUGGCCUUCCACUUGCCAAAACAAAGCAAUUGUCAUAUUAUUAAAUAUAAAUUAAAGGUAAGCAAUGGAAAAUGGCUUGUUUUCAAAUCUUUUUUUUUUUUCCUUUCCCCCUGAAACAGACGGUUCAAUUUUCUAUGAGAAGCAAAGUUCAAGCUCUCAUUUCCCACUGUACAUUUCUGUGUUAGUGCCUCACAAAAUAGCAGUUCAUUUCUGGAAAUCCUA